rnacentral:lncRNA from 1 species
AAUAAGGCAGCCUUACGCACUCUUAUGCACCAAAACAUCAGCCGAAAUGAAGUCUCCUUGCUCUUCUAUCAUCCAAUUUGUUUUUGUUCUUCUUUUAUCAUAUCAUUGUUGGGUUACUUUUGGCAACAUUCAUGCAACUUCUUCAGUGCCCGAUGAGAACUUAUUCCUUCAUUGCCUAUCUAUGCACUCUGAUAACUUCUCCUCCAUUUCUAAAGUGAUAUACACCCGAAAUAACUCCUCAUUUUCAUCGAUAUUGGAUUUUUCAACACCCACCACCCCAAAACCUCAAGUCAUUGUCACUCCAUUGAAAGAAUCCCAUGUUCAAGCAGCCGUUAAAUGUUCCCCAAAAUAUGGCAUGCAAGUUAGGGUUCGAAGUGGAGGUCAUGACUAGGAGGGUUCUUCUUAUGUUUCUAAUCAUCAUGUCCCAUUUGUCGUCAUUGAUUUGAUAAAUCUUAGCUCAAUCAGUGUUGAUGCAGAGGCUAAAACUGCAUGGGUUCAAGCCGGAGCAACAAUUGAUAUGCCGUAUGAAGAUUCUAACCGGUUCGGAGGGGAAAAAAAUAGCCGACCCUAAAAUAAAAUCCUGGCUUUGCUUCUGACCGGGGUGCAGAGAAAAUGGAAAAUUAAGAGAGAUAUUUUAGCUGACAAAAAUAAGCCACUUUCCUGUUUCUUUCUAUUUAAUGCGCUUUGCCGUCGCAUUGACGUUUGUUAACUUCCAUUCAAAGAAAUUUAGAGUGCUUGUUACGAAAUAAGCUUUUGGGGUUCCAUAAAUAAGGCAGCCUUACGCACUCUUAUGCACCAAAACAUCAGCCGAAAUGAAGUCUCCUUGCUCUUCUAUCAUCCAAUUUGUUUUUGUUCUUCUUUUAUCAUAUCAUUGUUGGGUUACUUUUGGCAACAUUCAUGCAACUUCUUCAGUGCCCGAUGAGAAUUUAUUCCUUCAUUGCCUAUCUAUGCACUCUGAUAACUUCUCCUCCAUUUCUAAAGUGAUAUACACCCGAAAUAACUCCUCAUUUUCAUCGAUAUUGGAUUUUUCAACACCCACCACCCCAAAACCUCAAGUCAUUGUCACUCCAUUGAAAGAAUCCCAUGUUCAAGCAGCCGUUAAAUGUUCCCCAAAAUAUGGCAUGCAAGUUAGGGUUCGAAGUGGAGGUCAUGACUAGGAGGGUUCUUCUUAUGUUUCUAAUCAUCAUGUCCCAUUUGUCGUCAUUGAUUUGAUAAAUCUUAGCUCAAUCAGUGUUGAUGCAGAGGCUAAAACUGCAUGGGUUCAAGCCGGAGCAACAAUU